rnacentral:antisense_RNA from 1 species
GUUUAUGGUGGGCGUGUCGGGCAGGCUUCGGCCUGGCCGGGAUUGGAAUAACAGCCGGUUUUCGACCCCGACACGUCCGCCACCUUG